rnacentral:lncRNA from 1 species
AUGGCUUGCGUUGUCAGCUGCUGUAAGAAAAUCGCACAGACAGACUACAAACAGAGGCACAACUAUGUGGCCCAAUUGAUUCAUUGGAACUUAUGCCUCAAGUACCACCUCCCAGCAGAAAAGAACUGGUGGGAUCACAAACCUGCAAAAGUAUUGGAAAAUGAGCAUGCAAAGAUACUGUGGGACUUCCGAAUCCAGACUGACAAAAUUUUAGAACACAACACACCACACCUCACGGUUGCGGAAAAGAAAAAAGUUUGGAUCAUUGAUGUCGCCAUCCCAGGUGACAGUCGCAUUGACGAAAAACAACAGGAAUACCUCAGCCGCUAUCAGGACCUCAAGAUUGAACUGCAAAGUCUCUGGCAGAAACUAGUGCAGGUGGUCCCGGUGGUGAUGGGCACAUUGGGUGCUGUGCCAAAAGAUCUCAGCCGGCAUUUGGAAACAAUAGACAUUGACAAAAUCACGAUCUGCCAACUGCAAAAGGCCACCCGACUGGGAUCUACGCACAUCAUCUCAAAACACAUCACACAAUCCUUGACACUUGGGAAGUGUUCAACUUGUGAUUUUAUGAUAUGAAAUCCAGCAUAUAUCUUGUUUGCUGUGUCAUACAAUAAAAUAAUAAUAAUAAUAAUAAUAAUAAUAAUAAUAAUAAUAAUAAUAAUAAUAAUAGAUUGGAGAAGUUACUGUUUUGAUCACAACCCCCUGCAGUCAUGUUAACUGACGAAUAAUGGGACCUGUAGUAAUGCAAGCCUGCAUCGUAUUGAUAUUUGUUUCUUUUCCUACUGAUUUAAAUAUUUACAACCUACUCUGUCUUCAAAGAUUCCUGGACAAUUACUCAAAUCCGUUAAAAUUUCUUGAAACAUUAAUACAGUAAUGGGCUAUCCACAAAAAUAUUUAAAACUAUACAGGAUGAAUAUCCCAGAUUUUGGAACACUCGUAUUUGCAUCUCUGCAUCCUGAGACAUCUUGGAGAUGGGAUCCAAGUCUAAACAUGAAAUUCAUCUAUGAUUUACAUAAAUCUUAUGCAUCUAGAGGUAAUUUUAUACAUAGUAUUUUAAAUAAUUUUGCGCAUGAAACCACGUCUUUGUACAUUGAACCAUCAAUGUACAACUUGGGGACAAGUCCAGGUUUUGUUUCCUGAUUUGGGCACCCAGUGGAGUCUAGAGCAGGCAUGGGCCAACUUGGGCCCAAAGGGUGUGUGGGACUCCAACCCCCCAAAGUAUGACAAAUACAU